UACGUAGGGGGCUAGCGUUGUCCGGAAUCAUUGGGCGUAAAGCGCGUGUAGGCGGUCCGGUAAGUCCGCUGUGAAAGUCGGGGGCUCAACCCUCGAAUGCCGGUGGAUACUGUCGGGCUAGAGUGCGGAAGAGGCGAGUGGAAUUCCUGGUGUAGCGGUGAAAUGCGCAGAUAUCAGGAGGAACACCAAUUGCGAAGGCAGCUCGCUGGGCCGUUACUGACGCUGAGACGCGAAAGCGUGGGGAGCAAACAGG
rnacentral:rRNA from 1 species